CAUGACACCACACUGGG
rnacentral:misc_RNA from 1 species